AUGCAAAGGAGGAAAGAAAGUCACAGGAAGACAAAAGUCACAGGAAGACGAAAGUCACAGGAAGACGAAGGUCACAGGAAGACAAAAGUCACAGGAAGACGAAAGUCACAGGAAGACGAAGGUCACAGGAAGACGAAAGUCACAGGAAGACGACGGUCACAGGAAGACGAAGGUCACAGGAAGACGAAAGUCACAGGAAGACGAAAGUCACAGGAAGACGAAAGUCACAGGAAGACGAAGGUCACAGGAAGACGAAAGUCACAGGAAGAUGACGGUCACAGGAAGACGAAGGUCACAGGAAGACGAAGGAAGUUAUGGUUAGAAAAUUCUGUUAGGGAAUUUAGUUGGGGAAUAGGUUGUAAGAAAGCUGGAAAUUUGUUGUUUAGAAAUUCUACUUUGGAAGUUGGUUAA